GAGUCACACCAGUCUCGGAACGCCAACAUGUUGCGUCUGCUUCUCGUGACCUGCUGUCUGGUGGCGGUCCUGGCGGCCCCGGCCGCCAGGCCCCCACCCGGGUUCUACAGGGGACCAGAACUCCUUGAACGAUUCGAGAAGGGCUCUGUGGAAUCCUCAUCUGGUGGAAGCGAAACGGGAUCUUCCGGGCAAGGGUCUGAACAAUCUUCUGAAGGAAGCAGCGCAUCAGAGGAGGGUUCUGAGGGAUCUUCCAAUGAAAGCAUGUCUUCAGAGGAGGGUUCUGAGGAAUCUUCCAGUGGAAGCAUGUCUUCAGAGGAGGGUUCUGAGGAAUCUUCCAGUGGAAGCAUGUCUUCAGAGGAGGGUUCUGAGGAAUCUUCGAGUGGAAGCAUGUCUUCAGAGGAGGGUUCUGAGGAAUCUUCUAAUGGAAGCAUGUCUUCAGAAGAGGGCUCUGAGGAAUCUUCCAAUGGAAGAAGGUCUUCAGAGGAGGGUUCUGAGGAAUCUUCGAGUGGAAGCAUGUCUUCAGAGGAGGGUUCUGAGGAAUCUUCCAGUGGAAGCAUGUCUUCAGAGGAGGGUUCUGAGGAAUCUUCGAGUGGAAGCAUGUCUUCAGAGGAGGGUUCUGAGGAAUCUUCCAGUGGAAGCAUGUCUUCGGAGGAGGGUUCUGAGGAAUCUUCCAGUGGAAGCACGUCUUCGGAGGAGGGUUCUGAGGGAUCCUCCAAUGGAAGCAUGUCUUCGGAGGAGGGCUCUGAGUAAUCAUCCGACGGAAGCAAUAUUGGAUCCCCCAAGAAAUGGUUUUGAAGUCUUUUUAGGGAAUGCAAGGGAGCCCUCUGUUGAAGAAGCGUUCGAGAGGAACGCACUGAGUAACCCUAUGAUGGAAGCAAUACUUUGGAAAGAGAUUCUAAGUGAUAUUUUCCAUGAAACGGUGCAGUGCCUUCACAGACAAACCUCUGCGAUGUCCUAAAAUGUGUGCGGCUGCCAAGAAACCUUCAUGAUAUUCAGGGUUUACUGUUUCCUUUUGCGUUCUGCCUACUUUGUGGUUGUGGCAUAUAUCUUUGGCCGAAAUAUAUGCGAAUAGAACAUGACAACAAAGUUUUCGCUAGCACUGGCAAGACGAGAAGUUUUCUUAUCAUUUUCGCAAAAGUAAAUCAGAAAGCACUGCUAUAUGUUUCUGGCCCUUUUUCAUUUGGUGCAUCGAAAAGUGGCCUUUGUAGACUGAAUUAUCAACUUUUGAUUCUCUCGUGUGUGCAUGGUGCAGGUGCGCGGGCAUGGAUUUGUUACGCUCAAAUAUAUAUAAACACCGA